UACGGGGGGGGCAAGCGUUGUUCGGAAUUACUGGGCGUAAAGGGCUCGUAGGCGGCCAACUAAGUCGGAUGUGAAAUCCCCAGGCUCAACUUGGGAACUGCAUCCGAUACUGGAUGGCUUGAAUUCGGGAGAGGGAUGCAGAAUUCCAGGUGUAGCGGUGAAAUGCGUAGAUAUCUGGAGGAAUACCGGUGGCGAAGGCGGCAUCCUGGACCGACAUUGACGCUGAGGAGCGAAAAGCUAGGGGAGCAAACGGGG
rnacentral:rRNA from 1 species